GCUAAUUUAAACAAAAUCUUUUUUUGUGGAGAUGGAGUGUUGCCGAGGCUGGUCUCAAAUUCCUGGGCUCAAGGAUCCUCCCCACUUGGCCUCCCAAGUUCUGGAUUACAAAGCCUGCACUACCGGGCUGGGCUGGUGGUUUCUCUUCUAUCAAGUCACUCUAGGGAAACUCAUGCAUGCCCCAUGACUUCUAUCAUCGCAUCCAUUCUACUGACUCCCAAAUAUUGACCUACAGCCCAUAAUUUCUUUCUGAAUUUCACCCCUUCCCUGCCACCGCCUCUCCAGCUCCUUCCUAGAUGCUCCCUUCUGACCGCCCUCUUCUUGAUUUCAAUAUGUCUCAAAUAAAACAGAUGAAUUUUUGCUCAGAAUUUUCUGCUACUCAACUGUUUUCAUUUUUCUCUGCCCUUUCAAGUUAGCAUUUGAUAUAUUUGAUGUUUCUCCUUCCCUAGUCCUCACAUCCAAUUUUUCAUAGCCAAGUUUUUUUUAUCAUUUGGCUCCACCUAACAUUCCCACUGAAUACUCCUGCCAGACUGGACCACUAGCUCUUCACUGGCCUCCUCUGAACCUUUUCAGGUGAUAUUCCUUCUCCCCAGAACAGCUUAUGGUAAUAGUAGGUUAAUUUUUUUUAUAAUUGUGAAGAUAAAGUCACAGUGAUUCUCCUUUCUCUGGGAAUUGCUCCCAACAAAAGGCUGUGCUUACUGUUACCAUGUCUGUAGUUGGUGUGACUCUCUUCUCUGUUUACUUCAGAAGAGGAUAUCUGACUCAAGAAGACACAUGAAAUUUGCUAGGGUAUUGGAGAUUUUGAACCCAAAGACAGAGAUUGGAAAUAAUUGGGAAUCACUUUAGGUCAGCACUGGAUAAGAAGUAACAUGCAUCUCAGGAGGCACCCUUCAGAUUGAGCUGGGUAUCAGCAUUCAAUCCCACAAGGCUACCUGUUUAAGAAGAAUGGGAAUAUUUCAUAGAAACUGCUUGGAUGAUGAAGUAAUGGAGGUGGGGUAUGUGAGAAACAGUAUGAGAGAAGUAUGCAUUGCUUACAUUGAGGAACAGUGUAAUAACAUUGUCAUUGAUUUAGUCUCUCAUAACUGGUAAAAUACCUUCAUAUCCCUGACCUCAAAGUGGCAGUACUCAUCCAGCUACCUCAGAGUUGGCAACAUCACUCAUCUGAGCUUACACAUAAAGGUAAAGAUGGUCCUGUGAACACCAUGGAGGAUGGAGGCGUUCCUUUGCUUAUUCUUAUAUUCUCAACAUCCGGUGCAGUGUUUGGUUAAUAACAAACCCUCUAUAAAUAUUUGUGGAAUAUUUGAGGGGUCAAUACCUAACGACACCUCUUAUGCCAUCUUGUACCCAGGUUUGACAACCAUAAUUUAUGCAUGCCUGCAAAUAAUAGAUUGCCUAGAACCACCCCAAUUUUUCCCUUUCCCAGAAAAGCUAAAGACCAGCCCAUCUAGUACUUGAUUUGUUUUUUUUUUUUUAAGCCAAACUAUGAAUAACCCCAAAGUCUUGCAGAUUCACUUCAGAUUCAAAGGGACAGAUAUGAGAUAUGAAAAAUAUAAUAAAAUUUCUGUCCUUUCAGCUCUAAAAUCAAAGUGAAUGUAACUUUAUGUGACCAUGCAAAAUUCAGGUAUACUGAGAACUUCACCAUAUUGAGAACGUAUCGGGGUGUCCAAUCUUUUGGCCUCCCUGGGCCACAUUGGAAGAAGAAUUGUCUUGGGCCACACAUAACAUACACUAACACUAACACAAAUGAUAGCUGAUGAACUUUAAAAAAGCAAAAAAGUCUUAAUGUUUUAAGAAAGUUUACAAAUUUGUGUUGGUCCACAUUCAAAGCUAUCUUGGGCCACAUGCAGCCUAUGGGCAGCAGGAUAGGCAAACUUGCUUUAGGUGAGUUGGGCCCACUAAAAACAGACUUAGGUCUUCACAAAGAGCAAUUGCCAUAGUGGUGAUGAACUCAGUUCCUUCCAUUCCCGCUCUCUCUGCCUCCUCCCUCCAUCACGAUGCAAACCCUGAGGGAGAAUAAACUUUAAAGAUAUGAUUAACUAGAUUACAUUCUUCCAACACCACAUUAUAGUUUGUAGAGAAACAGUGCUGCCAAGGCCCUGCAGCUUGUAUACCUUGCUAUCAUAUUUACUAAGGGGUUCUUAAGUUUAUGCUUGCUAGAAAGAUAAUGAGAUUAAUUAAAGUCCUUUUUAGUUCCUACCUUGGGUCAAGACACACUGGUAAAAAAAUAAAAUAAAAUAAAAUAAAAAACUUCAUGUAAAACAUACCUUUUGUCUUGGCCCCACUUUCACCAAAUCUCAACACAAUCACUUUUAAACAGCUCUGUAAAAGUCUCUCUUGAAAGUUAUUGUUUAUUGUAAGCAACAGCCCAUGACCUCUGAAAUCAUCUCUAUGUUUGUUCAUUGUGUCUUACAAGGUUCUCUUUGUCACUUCCUAGAAGAAAAUCCUAUAUGAUUUUAAUAUCAAAAAUAA